rnacentral:lncRNA from 1 species
CCUGUUGAACUUGAUGAGAAUAAUAAGGAUCGGAUCACCUAUAUAGAUGCCAUGCAGAGGUCUGACUCCGAUUAAUAUCUUGAAGUCAUAAAGUCUGAAAUAAAGUUCAUGAAGAUCGAUGAUGUAUGGACACUCGUUGAUCCACUCGAAGGGAUAAACCCAUAGAGUGUAAAUGGAUCUUCAAUAGGAUAGAGAGCGC